GUAGGUAUAAUUAAGUGGUAGAGCACUGUGCUUAGCAUGCAUAAGAUCCUGGGUUCAAUCCCCAGUAACUUCA
rnacentral:tRNA from 1 species